AUAUGUACCUGGCAGAGGAGACACCACAACCAAGGACAUGGUCCACCCAUGGAGGAGUUCAACUAUUGCAUUAUGGUUGUCUAACCUCUGUGAAUCUGUAAAUGUGGGAAUUAAACCUGUAUAGUUGCUGACAGUGGGGGUUUGCAUUCAUACUUUGGCCUCAU
ensembl:snRNA U1 U1 spliceosomal RNA